GCUGUUUCUUCAAUGUCUAUGCUUUAUCCUUUUAGACACUAUUUAGAGGUCUGGUAUGUUAUGUAUACAGUCCUAUUGGCCUAAUGCUCUCUAACAGUCGCUAUAUGUAGUGUAGAGGCCUUUUAUAUUAUUAUAUACAAUCUCGAGGCUUGAUGGCCAUAUUUUUAUGCCCUCACUUCCGACGUAUCACCUAGUCGAAGAAUCAUUUUAUAUUGAAUUUUACAAUUCCCUCAUCUGUGACCAAUUACAUAUGCUUCUUUGAGUACUAAGUCAAUUGUUUUGAACAUUAAUAUCUUUUGAUAGAGCGGAUUAGUGGAACUCUUAAGCUCAGACUGAUUAGAACUUGUUCAUCUUUGCUUGAUUCUUUUGGCCGUGUCUUUUUCUGUUUAGGAAACAUAAAAGCCAUGGCUGAAUGACUGAUAAUGUAUGCAGUAUGCUACGCUUGAAGUUGUAAAUUGGUGAUUUCUGCAGAAUGUAGAGUUAUAUAUCCAGCAAGUUUCUGAGAAUCGAAUUUACCUUGGACAUCAGAUUUGUUUUCUUUCAUCAGGGUGUAUAAGUGCUAUGGUUUGGUGGUGAACCAUAAACACUCUUUUCUCUGGGCUCAUUUUGUCAAUGAGGCUAGCCUAUAAUGCCUCCCCUACCCCGUCUUUUUUCGGUCUUUGAAGACUUUGAUCUGUUGCAUUCAGUUCCUUUGGGGGCCAUCAGAAUGUGUGAAUAUGGAGGGUAUAGGUUACUGCUCCUGUGUUUUGCCUGUGUUGUAUUGUCAUAGACAUUCUGCACUUGCUGGGAAUACUGAGUGAUGCGAUUAUUUUGUGAACAAUUUCUCCUGGCGAAGGCAUUAUUAUGUUAUAACAAACAGUUUUCUGAAGUGUUUUUAUUGUUUAUACACUUGCAUUUUCUGUAUCCUGGUUUAUUUCCAUGGAGGUUGAGAUUUAGGAUUUAUCGUUUAUGGUUUAUGCUCGUUUUGCUUUUUUAAUUUUCAUCUUUCUCCUCUUCUUGAGUUGUGUCCAAACCAAUUGGGACAGUGUUUGAAAGGGUCAAAUCUUUGAUGAUUCCAGUCAUAUGUAAGAAUUCAUUCCGUUUAGAUGCAAGUAAGCCCAAUUGGGCCCAUUUGAAGCCCAACUGACCCUUGUUUAUGUCCUAUGCUACACCGGUUGGACGCCGACGGAAGUCACAACUAGGGCCACACGUUCCGAGUCACCGUCUGGUUUACAAGCACCGUCACUGCACGGCAUCUCCGUUGAACACAUAUCCUCCACCGCUUCAUAUCGCAGUCUAUUAGCGGAGCAAAGGAGGGGAAGGACCGGAACCCUUCAGAUCCAGGAAUGCGGUCAGAUGCUGUCGACGUCUCAGUGCUCCCAGACUCCACAUUGCAAAUGGUGCCGCAGCGAUGAUCUUGAUGACAUGUGCUUUAGCAAGGCCGAGUCUUGGCGACUCCCACAACAGGUCUUCACUUGUGAUUCAUAAAUCUACCAUCUUUUUUAUUUUCUUUC